rnacentral:lncRNA from 1 species
CUGUCAGGUACCAAACUUUGGGUUGAAAAUAAUAAAGCUGAGACCGGACGGUUGACUUGCACGAGAAGGGAGUCUCGGUGUAGUGUCUCCGUCUGAGUCGAUCAAGGACCGUCUCGAUGUAGGCUUGCUGAUCGAGGACCUUUUAACUGGUCACAUGCCUCAUCAUGGGUAAACUUUGCCUCGGGCAGACUAAUACCAGAAUAAGAUAACACAUAAUGGGAGUGGAGAGAUGGCGAGAGUAGCGUGUACCCUCGGUGGCAAGAGGCUGGACGGUGGUGUAUCUGUGCUCUCGGUUGGCGUGAACCUGAUCUGAUCUUAAGAAACCCGGUGGCGAGUUGACAUAUGCAAGGGUUAAGUGCUACAUAUGUCGUGUGAUUGGAGAUCCCCAGCUGGAUAUUAAUCGAUUCAGAUCGCCGUUACUUCUUGGACAUGAACACUUGGUCACUGCCCUACACGUAGCAAUCCAGUGAACUGAAGGGUUGAUAAAAAGACGGCUAGUAUAGGCCAAGUGCUUGAACUAGGGUAGAAAGAACUCUAGAUGCAGAUAACUUUACUUAACCUGACAAGUAAAAAUGGAUUUUUAAGGAUCCACUCAUAGUAAGCUUUUCGGCAAACAGAGUCCUUGAUUCUUGAUAAGCCAUACCUUGAACCCUUUUGUAACCAGCAUACCCUUGAGAGUCUUUUCUUUAGUCGGGUAAGUCUUGCUGAGUACUUGUGUACUUAGGGUUUUACCCAUUGUUGCUGCAGGUCGCGAGUCACUUUGGUUGUGAUUGGUGUUAAGCGCCGGUGGGCACGACCUUCUUAUAAGUAUAAGUACUUCUUCUAUACUUCUUAUUGAGGAUGGUCACUUGAGCUAGCAUAUAUUUCAAAACUACAAAUAAUUUAUAACUGUUCAAAGUUCCUUCGUUGAAUCACUUUUGUAAUCACUCCGAUCAU